CUAUAGUUCAGCGGUAGAGCGCCAGAUUGUGGAUCUGGUUGUCGUGGGUUCGAUCCCCACUA
rnacentral:tRNA from 1 species